CUGCCAUUCUUUCAUACCAUUUUUUGGCAGGAUAUCAAGGAGAACCCAGUCUUGAUCUACAUGAAGGGUUUUCCUGAGUUUCCAAUGUGUGGCUUCAGUGCACUGGCUGUUAAGGUCUUUCAGCAAUAUGGCGUCCCUAUCUGUGGUAGAGACAUUCUUGGGGAUCUCAAGCUCAAAGAGAGUGUUAAAGCCCACACGUAAGUGGCUCUGUAGACCUCCUGGAUGAUGUAUUUUUAAUUUUUAGACAGUAAGUGGCAACACACUUGUGUCUCAAAAUUGAAAAUGGUCCAUGGUAAGGUAGAUUAUCGAAAUUUUGCAUGAUGUUACGAGGAAGGGGAAUGAUAUUCAAGUUUGCCUUCAA